GUCAAAAUCGUAUGCUUGUAGCGCUUAAACUAUUGGGAACCUAGGGACCCACCACAACAUUUAAAAUGGCAGCUAAUGUCUGCGGGUGUUUAGGAGAUGGUGAGAGCUGGCAUUCUCUCUUAGCCUUUCAUUAAGGGCACCACUUUCAGAUAAAAACAUAGACCUGAAUGGCAUCAUCCAGUAUCCAAGGAAACCAUAAUCUUACCCUCCUCUCAGUGUCAGGAAACCUCCCAGGAGCUGUCACCAGAGGAAGGAGGGGGCAUAUCAAUGAAAAUAUUGCUGCAUGGGAUGGAUAUCAGAGAUUUUCC